rnacentral:rRNA from 1 species
UAAUACAGAGGUCUCAAGCGUUGUUCGGAUUCAUUGGGCGUAAAGGGUGCGCAGGCGGCGUGGAAAGUUGAGUGUGAAAUCCCGGGGCUUAACCUCGGAACUGCACUCAAUACUCCCAUGCUAGAGGAAUGUAGAGGAGAGUGGAAUUCACGGUGUAGCAGUGAAAUGCGUAGAUAUCGUGAGGAAGACCAGUUGCGAAGGCGACUCUCUGGGCAUUUCCUGACGCUCAUGCACGAAGGCCAGGGGAGCAAACGGG